rnacentral:misc_RNA from 1 species
UACGGAGGGGACUAGCGUUGAUCGGAAUUACUGGGCGUAAAGCGCACGUAGGCGGACUAUUAAGUCAGGGGUGAAGUCCCGGGGCUCAACCCCGGAACUGCCCUUGAUACUGGUAGUCUGGAGUUCUGGAGAGGCGAGUGGAAUUCCGAGUGUAGAGGUGAAAUUCGUAGGUAUUCGGAGGAACACCAGUGGCGAAGGCGGCUCACUGGCUCGAUACUGACGCUGAGGUGCGAAAGCGUGGGGAGCAAACAGG